rnacentral:misc_RNA from 1 species
AUGAUAUUUUAUUUCUUUUUGUUUAUAUAUUAUACUAUUUAUAAAUACCUAUGUACUGUUUUGUGUUCCAAAUAAGUAAAUUUAAUAAAAGACUAAUUCAAAUGUAUUUGUUUCUAUUCUUCUAUACAAAAGGCGUUUAAAUUAAUUAAUUGCCAGUAAAAAAGAGAAAAAUUGUUUCAAAUUUUUUAACAAAAGAAUUCGUUGUAUGAUACAUGUUUUUGAUAUGCUAUUUACAAAUUAAUUUUUUAAAUUGACU